CCUACGGGAGGCAGCAGUGGGGGAUAUUGCACAAUGGGGGAAACCCUGAUGCAGCGACGCCGCGUGUGGGAAGACGGUCCUCUGGAUUGUAAACCACUGUUCUCAGGGACGAAGAUGACGGUACCUGGGGCGGCAGCUCCGGCUAACUACGUGCCAGCAGCCGCGGUAAUACGGAGGGAGCGAGCGUUAUCCGGAUUUAUUGGGUGUAAAGGGUGCGUAGACGGAGAAGCAAGUUAGUUGUGAAAUCCCUCGGCUUAACUGAGGAACUGCCACUAAAACUACUUCCCUGGAGUACUGGAGAGGAAAGUGGAAUGCCUAGUGUAGCGGUGAAAUGCGUAGAUAUUAGGAAGAACACCGGUGGCGAAGGCGACUUGCUGGACAGUAACUGACGUUGAGGCACGAAAGUGUGGGGAGCAAACAGGAUUAGAUACCCCAGUAGUC
rnacentral:rRNA from 1 species